AGCGAACGCUGGCGGCAGGCUUAACACAUGCAAGUCGAGCGGGCAUCUUCGGAUGUCAGCGGCAGACGGGUGAGUAACACGUGGGAACGUACCCUUCGGUUCGGAACAACUCUGGGAAACUGGAGCUAAUACCGGAUACGCCCUUAUGGGGAAAGGUUUACUGCCGAAGGAUCGGCCCGCGUCUGAUUAGCUAGUUGGUGGGGUAACGGCCUACCAAGGCGACGAUCAGUAGCUGGUCUGAGAGGAUGAUCAGCCACACUGGGACUGAGACACGGCCCAGACUCCUACGGGAGGCAGCAGUGGGGAAUAUUGGACAAUGGGCGCAAGCCUGAUCCAGCCAUGCCGCGUGAGUGAUGAAGGCCUUAGGGUUGUAAAGCUCUUUUGUCCGGGACGAUAAUGACGGUACCGGAAGAAUAAGCCCCGGCUAACUCCGUG
rnacentral:rRNA from 1 species